UAGAUUUAGUUUAAAGAGUUAGAUUUUGGAGGGUGGCAAUUCCAAAAUUUUCAGGCUGUCUGGAGACACAGGGAAGAGUUGAUGUUACAACUUGAGUCUGAAGGCAGUCUGGAGAUUGCCUGCCCUCUUCCUUGCAGGAAGGUCAGUCCGUUUUCUUUUUCUUUUUCUUUUUUUUUUUUUUAAGUUUAUUUAUUUAUUUUGAGACAGAGAAAGAGCAUAGGAGAAAGGCAAAGAGAGGGAGAGAGAGAAUCCCAAGCAGGCUCUGCACUGCCAGCACAGAACCCGACGUGGAGCUUGAGCUCACAAACUGUGAGAUUAUGACCUGAGCUGAAAUCAAGAGUUGGACACUAAACUGACUGAGCCACCCAGGAACCCCAGGUUCUUGUUCAUUCUUGCUCAUGAAACCUUUCUGUAUACCGGAAGUGCAUAAUAGAGGAAAGGCUCAGUGGAAUGGAGGAAGAGAGAUAAUCAUAGAAACCCACAUUGAGCUAAAUGACCCCUGGGAUGCAAUUUGAAGAUGAGUAUUCCAAAUUAUUUUUUCUCUGUCCAGAUGAUAGACUAAUAAGAGAAUCAAUCAAUCAGUCAAUCAAACUCAAUAAGAACCGAGCAAGGCUCAUCUGAGCAAUGAUGGAUGGUACUUGAAAGUGAAUUAGUGACUGAUUUGGAGAGAUUUCAGAGAGGUAGAGCUAACAGUGGCAAAUCAAGUUAACUUGUAUAUAUUGCUGACAGGAUGUGGGCUGGGCAAUAGCAAAUUCUUUCCAAUAGCCUCCAACUGCUUGUGAAGCUGACCUAGAGGCUGCUUCAAAUCUGAUAGAUUGAAACAAUUCCAUCUGAAAUCAUUUUUUCAGCCUUGUAAUUUUUGUAAUAAUAUGUAUCAAGACUAGAAACCUGCAUUUAAGCAUCUGAAUACAUCUGAACAGAGGCAAACAAUUCCCAACAAUGCCUCCAUGACAAUAUGCUGUUGGUUGCUAAUUGGAAAAAAGCACAAGUAGUAAUUAGAAGGCAUUCUGUUGCUUGCUGGAAGGCUUCUCCCCUAAAUGGUUAAAAUAUUCAGGUUUAUAGGGUAACAACCUGAUUUAAAUUUUUGGAGUGUUGUGUUAGCAAUGCAUAUUUACUUUUUUUUUUUUUUUUUCAGUCAUGUAGGAUGUGUGCACCAGCUUAAAAAUCAAGUCAUGCUCCAAAUGGUUACUAAUAUGGCCACUCCUGGGACCUCCUCUUUACUCCCUCUAGAGACGAAAUCCCUCUCGUGUCAAUUCACCUCAAUGCCUAUCUAAGCCACUGCCCUUCCUCCCAGUCCUUUUCAGGCCAUGGUGCCAGCAGGCUCUUUUCCCCAGGUGUUGACAAUCAACCCUUCAGCAAGAUGAUUGCCAAACAGAAGAGGAACAUUUUGUAAUGCAUCUGAAAGAAUGUCAAACCCAGACUUUUAGAAAAUUCAGAAAGAGAAAUUGAGCAUGUGAGCAGGGAAGAUGGGAAGAGGGAUAGAGAGAGAGAAUCCCAAGCAGGCUCCAUCUCUAACAUGGAGCCUUAUGCAGGGCUUGGUUUCACCACUCUGGGAUCAUGACCUGAGCUGGAAUCAAGAGUCAGACACUCAACCGACUAAGCCACUGAGAUACAGAGCAUGAACAGAGGAGGGACAGAGAGAGGGAGACACAGAAUCUGAAGCAGGCUCCAGGCUCCCAGCUGUCAGCACAGAGCCCAACAUGGGGCUUGAACUCAUGGACUGCAAGAUCAUGACCUGAGCUGAGAGAGAGACAGAGAAAGACAGAGGCUGAGGAGGGGAAGGCAGAGAGAGAGGGAGACACAGAAUCCAAAGCAGGCUCCAGGCUCGGAGCUAUCGGCACAGAGCUGGACGCAGGGCUCGAAGCCAUGAACCGUGAGAUCAUGACCUGAGUCAAAGUCAGAUGCUUAACUGACUGAGCCACCCAGGUACCCCAAGGAUGUUUUUACGUUUUUAAAUGUAGGCUAAACUGAUGUUUAAAAAAGAGUAUCAUGUUUUAAUUUCUAUACCUUUUGCCCACU